rnacentral:rRNA from 1 species
GCCUGAUGGAGGGGGAUAACUACUGGAAACGGUAGCUAAUACCGCAUAACGUCGCAAGACCAAAGUGGGGGACCUUCGGGCCUCAUGCCAUCAGAUGUGCCCAGAUGGGAUUAGCUAGUAGGUGGGGUAACGGCUCACCUAGGCGACGAUCCCUAGCUGGUCUGAGAGGAUGACCAGCCACACUGGAACUGAGACACGGUCCAGACUCCUACGGGAGGCAGCAGUGGGGAAUAUUGCACAAUGGGCGCAAGCCUGAUGCAGCCAUGCCGCGUGUGUGAAGAAGGCCUUCGGGUUGUAAAGCACUUUCAGCGGGGAGGAAGGCGUUAAGGUUAAUAACCUUGGCGAUUGACGUUACCCGCAGAAGAAGCACCGGCUAACUCCGUGCCAGCAGCCGCGGUAAUACGGAGGGUGCAAGCGUUAAUCGGAAUUACUGGGCGUAAAGCGCACGCAGGCGGUCUGUCAAGUCGGAUGUGAAAUCCCCGGGCUCAACCUGGGAACUGCAUUCGAAACUGGCAGGCUAGAGUCUUGUAGAGGGGGGUAGAAUUCCAUGUGUAGCGGUGAAAUGCGUAGAGAUCUGGAGGAAUA